rnacentral:rRNA from 1 species
UAACCAGGGAUUCCUUGAGUACUGCGAGUGAAAGAGGAAGAGCCCAGCACCGAAGCCUCUGUCGUUCUUCGGCAGUUGUGCAAUGUGGUGUAAGGGAAGGUACGUUCCAGCAAGGUGCCAGGUGUCUAAGUCCCCCUGACUGGGGCCAUGACCCUCGGAGGGUGCAAGGCCCGUGUGGCCCGGCGUUUCUCUGUUCCUUGCUGGUCCUGCCUUUCCCAGGAGUCGGGUUGCUUGAGAGUGCAGCCCUAAGUGGGUGGUAAACUCCAUCUAAGGCUAAAUACUUGACACGAGACCGAUAGCAAACAAGUACCGUGAGGGAAAGUUGCAAAGAACUUUGAAGAGAGAGUUCAAGAGUGCGUGAAACCGUUCGGAGGUAAACGGGUGGGACCUCGAAGGUCGAACGGAUGGGGCUGGAUUCAACCUGCCGACCGGAUGCCGAGGACGAGAGAUCGGUCUGCCCUUCGGAAACUCUGUUUUCGUUUUGGGCGGCGUUGUCUCGCCUCGUCAGCGUCCUGGUUCAUUCACGGCGGGUGCACUUCCAGUUCUCCCCUUCCUAGUAGGACGCUGCGACCGGUUGGGAAAGUUUAACGCGGGAGACCAGACGCCUGUUGCCUGGUAGCUGCACGGUUGUUAGUCGGUUUUCCCUUCGGGGUUGGCCGCUGCCGCUUGUCUGGCCAGGCCACCGAGCUGAGUCUCUCGUUCCGACCGAGGAAAUUGUUUUUUGGCUUCCUGCGAGUUGCCAUGUGAACGCACCCGCUUGCCAUUGAUUCGGUGAGCUCGGGCGGACUGAGUCCACCGGGUGGCGCUCGGCAGACUUGCGUAGAACCCCUUUCGCGGGUUCCGCUUGCUUGACGACGCGUCUACCGACAGUGAAGGGCGCAGGCUCCCGAUUUGAGGGUUGCCGGAGGUUCAGCAGCGAGUAGGUUGGUAACCCACCCGACCCGUCUUGAAACACGGACCAAGGAGUCUAACAUGCUUGCAAGUCUUUGGGGGGUCUGACCAACCCCAUGAAGGCACAAUGAAAGUGAAGGGUCGGCCUCGCGUCACCCGAGGCAGGAUCCUUCCAUCGGCGAAAGCCGUUUGGAAAAAAUUGGAGCACUGCUGGCCCGCCCCACGGUCGCAUUUGCGGUCGGGCGGAGCCAGAGCAAGUACGUUGGUACCCGAAAGAUGGUGAACUAUGCCUGGGCAGGACGAAGCCAGAGGAAACUCUGGUGGAAGUCCGUAGCGAUUCUGACGUGCAAAUCGAUCGUCGGACCUGGGUAUAGGGGCGAAAGACUAAUCGAACCAUCUAGUAGCUGGUUCCCUCCGAAGUCUCCCUCAGGACAGCUGGCACUCGGAGGCAGUUUCAUCCGGUAAAGCGAAUGAUUAGAGGAACUUGGGGUCGAAACGACCUCAACCUAUUCUCAAACUUUCAAUGGGUGAGAUGGCUGGUGUACUUGACUGAAAUCUGGCACACUAGAAUGCGAGUGCCAAGUGGGCCACUUUUGGUAAGCAGAACUGGCGCUGUGGGAUGAACCAAACGCCGGGUUAAGGCGCCCGAUGCGGACGCUCAUGAGAGCCCAUGAAAGGUGUUGGUUGCUAUAGACAGCAGGACGGUGGCCAUGGAAGUCGGAAUCCGCUAAGGAGUGUGUAACAACUCACCUGCCGAAGCAACUAGCCCUGAAAAUGGAUGGCGCUCCAGCGUCGAGCCUAUACCCGGCCGCUGGUGGCAUUUAGCCCGAUGCCCCAGCGAGUAGGAGGGUCGCGGCGGUGUACGUUGAAGGUGUCAGGCGCGAGCCUGCCUGGAGUCGCCGCCGGUGCAGAUCUUGGUGGUAGUAGCAAAUACUCAAGUGAGACACCUUGAGGACCGAAGUGGAGAAGGGUUCCAUGUGAACAGCAGUUGAACAUGGGUCAGUCGGCCCUAAGGAAUGGGAUAAUUCCGUUCCGAUCGGUCGGGCGUUCGCGCCCGCUGGACCGAAAGGGAAUCCGGUUAAUAUUCCGGAACCAGGCUACAGGGAUCGGUUUCGUGCUCUCCGUCGGUUCGCGCCGGCGGAAGGUCGGAACCCGUGGCGGCAACGCAAACAGGCUCGGAGACUGGCGGUGGGGGUCCCGGGAAGAGUUUUCUUUUCUUUGUAAGGGACGGACUCCAUGGAAUCGGCUUGCCCGGAGAUAUGGACGUUGUUCCCGGAAAGCACCGCGGCUCUUGCGGUGUCCGGUCCACUUCCACCGUCCCAUGAAAAUCCGAGUCUGCGACAUGAUCUUUGUGCCUGACCGUACCCAUAUCCGCAGCAGGUCUCCAAGGUGAACAGCCUCUGGUCGAUAGAUCAAUGUAGGUAAGGGAAGUCGGCAAGCCAGAUCCGUAACCUAGGGAUAAGGAUUGGCUCUGAGGGCUGGGCCGGACGGGCUGGAGUUGGAAGCGAGUGUGGGCACCGCAGCGGGGCUGUGCGAGCGUUCGUUUCUCGAAGCGUCGCGUGCCCUGUAACAGGGGUGACGAUUGCUGAGGUCACGAAUCGCGAGCUCGGACCUGGCGACGGGACCUUCUCGUGGAAAGCACCAGCUGCGCCGCUAGGAGCUUGAACGGGGGUUUUGGUGAUGCCCUCUGGGUUGAACUGGACCUCCUUCUCCUGGUUGGCUUCGUCCGGCGUGCAACAGCUGACUCAGAACUGGCACGGACCAGNNNNNNNNNNNNNNNNNNNNNNNNNNNNNNNNNNNNNNNNNNNNNNNNNNNNNNNNNNNNNNNNNNNNNNNNNNNNNNNNNNNNNNNNNNNNNNNNNNNNAGCGUUGGAUUGUUCACCCACUAAUAGGGAACGUGAGCUGGGUUUAGACCGUCGUGAGACAGGUUAGUUUUACCCUACUAAUGACUUGUCACUGCGACAGAAAUCCUGCUCAGUACGAGAGGAACCGCAGGUUCGGAUCGGUGGUCCUUGUGCUUGGCCGAACGGCCAGUGGUGCGAAGCUACCAUCCGUUGGAUUACGACUGAACGCCUCUAAGUCGGAAUCCACUCUAGUCAAUGCAGUGAUACCGUGCGUGCCUCGUGUGCCUUGGAUGGCAACGUCAGGUGAGCGCGUUUACUUUGUGCUGGAAUGCUAACCUCUGCGGCUCACGUCGUACGAGGAGAAGCAUCACCUGGCAAGUAGCGUGCCACCAGUCUUGCCCAUCUCGAGGAGGAAAACUUAUGGUCUUGGUGCAGUGAGUCCCGCGCCGACCUUCCUCGUUCGUGGAACGUUGGAAUGCAAUGUCGAGGUGCCAAAUCGUCUGUAGACGACUUACGUACCGGUCGGGGUGUUGUACUUAGUAGAGCAGCUCCCACACUGCG